rnacentral:lncRNA from 1 species
AGGUUUUGAAGGACCACUCUGAUUGCUACAGGGAGAAUGGCGUGUUCGGGGGUGAGAUGCAGAAGUCCAGGCAUGUCCACCCUUCUCUACGGGCUGCCACGUUGGCACUGCACGACCCCGCCCCCACCCAUAGUUGAUUGGACCAGGCGUGGACAUGUGACCCAGCUGGGCCAAUCCGAUUCUCUCUCCCGGGCUCUGGAGCUGCAACGCCUUAAUGCUCUUGCUAGGGGAGCUGUCGGAGGCCAGGUCCUGCUGCAAAGACUGGGAAAAGGAGAGAGGAGUGAAGCGGGAGCAGAGAGAAGAAACACAAGAUGGUCUGGAUUGGUGACCGAUCAGAUCCCUACUUCCAGUCUCUUCUGGAGCCCUGGCUGCCUCCCUGCCCUUGGCUGUCAUGGACAAACCUUGUAAUAAAUUUCUCUUUUCCGUUGGUCCAGCAGGAGUGGUUUUCCGUUCCCUGCAGCUAGAAUCCUCGUUAAUACAGAUAUCUAAUAACAUCAUAAUAGUAAUAGCUGAGAUUUAUAGAAUGCUUAUUGUGUGCCAUGUACUUUUCCAAGGGGUUUAUCUGGAUUCUGUUAUUUAAACCUCUCGACAACUCUACGUGGUAUGCAUUGUUAUUCCCAUUUCACAGCUGAAGAAGCUGAGGCACAGAUAGGCUCGCUUGCUCAGGGUCACACAGCUAGUGAAGCCAGAUGUGAAGC